CGCUCCAAAAAGCAUCAUCUCCUCCUCGGUGCAGUCGAUGUCUUCCAGCAGGAUGGCCCAGCGAGCCUGCUCAUACAGCUGGGUCGGAGGAGGGAGAGCUCCUCAGGAUGGCGGAUGUCUGUGGGGAUCAGGAAAGUAAACAGAUGUUUAUUAGCGCUACAAAAUAUCAAAUGUGUUUUAUAUUGAGGAAUGUUAGAGCAAUCCUUCAGUAUUCUAUUUCAUUAGGUUUAGAUUUACUCUUUUAUAGUUGCCACUGGGAUAGCAGAAUACACAGUACAAUAACAGGAUCGAAUCCUUUAUAGUUUACUUCUUAUAAGAUCAAAUGCAAUGGCAGAUCAUAACAAAAACCUAGUCUGCGCUACAGAUGGGUAAAAGCAAGAGAAGAGAUUCACCAAAGCACAACCUUCACAUGGAAAAAUGAAGGUCAACAAUACUAAAAGCUCUUAGAUUAUGAUCAGUUUCUGAUGCCAAGAAUGCUCUGUUUUCUUGAUUAAUAGCUAUAGCAAAACUAUAUUAUAUAAACUCUCCUACUCAAAAUCAACCUUCAGCACUGACGUUCUCUAUUUCACUUAAUCUUAUUAGUUCAAUUCUCUUUAAGUAUUUCAAUGAAUUAUGAAAUUAAAUACCAUACAGAUCAUCCUUCUGAUCCACAUUUAGGUUGGUCAGUUCCUGUGUCCAAAACAAUCAUAAGUAAACUCCUUCUGACUGGUAAUACUUAUUUAUAUGACAUUUGUACAUUUCCCUACAGUGGAGAUGAGUAAAGACUUCAAACCAUUCACUGUCAGAGCAGAUAAGAAACAGGCCUUAACAUGGGAAUGAACUGGUUGGUGCAACAAAAUGUAUGUAGUUUGAUCGGAUGAAGCUAAAACUGAAAUGUUUUUCACAGGCCUGACCAUUGUUAAGUGUGUAAGAAAAGUCUGAGAGCAGGAACUUAAUUGUGAAAUCUGGGGGUGGCAGCAUCAGGCUGUGUGGGUGUUUUACUACAAGAAGAACAGUUUUCCUUCUCAAAAUAAAUGCCGUUAUGAAGAAAGGACAUUGUUUUUUGGAAAUAUUUAUCAUACAUCUGAAGAUGUUGGCCAGGAAUUUGCAGGUUGGGCACAAAUUAUACAUUAUACAUUCAAAUGAAUUAAAAAGUAGCUUAAAGACAAAAAUAUUCUCAUUUUGUAAGUAUGAUUACAACAUUGCAUCCAUGACCUCAAAUCAGGAGGUCAUACUUAAGUAACAUUUCAGCGCCCCAAAGGCUGUGUCAUUUUCUGUGUUAAAUGUCAGUUUUUAGAUGAGGUCCGUGACUGGAUGUCAGAUCAUACGUGAUUAAAGAAAACUGGUGAAAAAAUGUCAGUAUGUUCUUCAUAAGUUUUUUUUUUUUUAAAUUAUGAAACAAAUCUCACCAUUCUGGGCAAUUUUAGUAGGUGCAAUAGUGUCAGGUUCCAGCCACACUCACAAUGUUCAUACAUUCGGGCACCAACUGGUAGUCAACUUCCAGCUUAA